UCUUGCAAACUAAAGAUGGCGACCGGCGCACGGGUGAGUAACACGUAUCCAACCUGCCGAUAACUCGGGGAUAGCCUUUCGAAAGAAAGAUUAAUAUCCGAUAGUAUAUUAAAACCGCAUGGUUUUACUAUUAAAGAAUUUCGGUUAUCGAUGGGGAUGCGUUCCAUUAGUUUGUUGGCGGGGUAACGGCCCACCAAGGCUACGAUGGAUAGGGGUUCUGAGAGGAAGGUCCCCCACAUUGGAACUGAGACACGGUCCAA
rnacentral:rRNA from 1 species